UACAGAGGUCCCAAGCGUUGUUCGGAUUCACUGGGCGUAAAGGGUGCGUAGGUGGUGAGGUAAGUCGGAUGGGAAAGCUCGGAGCUCAACUCCGAAAUGGCAUUGGAAACUACCUUGCUCGAGGGUUGGAGGGGGGACUGGAAUGCUUGGUGUAGCAGUGAAAUGCGUAGAUAUUGGGAAGGACACCAGUGGCGAAGGCGGCUCACUGGCUCGUAUCUGACGCUCAGGCGCGAUAGCGUGGUGAUCAAACAGG
rnacentral:rRNA from 1 species